rnacentral:ncRNA from 1 species
AGCUCGCAGCACAAGGCUUGGUCCUGACUUUACUAUCAACUCUAGCUAAACUUACACAUGCAAGUAUCCGCAUCCCCGUGAGAAUGCCCUACAGUUCCCUGCCCGGGAACAAGGAGCUGGUAUCAGGCACACUUCGACUAGCCCCAUGACACCUUGCUUAGCCACACCCCCAAGGGAACUCAGCAGUGAUAGACAUUAAGCCAUAAGUGAAAACUUGACUUAGUCAAAGCUAAGAGGGCCGGUAAAACUCGUGCCAGCCACCGCGGUUAUACGAGAGGCCCAAGUUGAUAGACAUCGGCGUAAAGCGUGGUUAAGAUUAAAGACAAUACUAAAGCCGAACACCUUCAGAGCUGUUAUACGCAUCCGAAGGUAAGAAGUUCAACCACGAAAGUGGCUUUAUAGCCCCUGAACCCACGAAAGCUACGAUACAAACUGGGAUUAGAUACCCCACUAUGCCUAGCCAUAAACAUUGGUAGCACACUACACCCACUACCCGCCUGGGAACUACGAGCAUCAGCUUGAAACCCAAAGGACUUGGCGGUGCUUUAGAUCCACCUAGAGGAGCCUGUUCUAGAACCGAUAACCCCCGUUCAACCUCACCUUUCCUUGUCUCUCCCGCCUAUAUACCGCCGUCGUCAGCUUACCCUGUGAAGGUUAAAUAGUAAGCAAAAUUGGUACAACCUAAAACGUCAGGUCGAGGUGUAGCGUAUGGGAAGGGAAGAAAUGGGCUACAUUUCCUAUUACAGGAAAUACGAAUGGUGUACUGAAACGUACGCCUGAAGGAGGAUUUAGCAGUAAGCAGGAAAUAGAGCGUCCCGCUGAAAUUGGCCCUGAAGCGCGCACACACCGCCCGUCACUCUCCCCAAGCCUACCAACUAAAAUAAUUAAAACCCUAUAAUCGCGAAGGGGAGGCAAGUCGUAACAUGGUAAGUGUACCGGAAGGUGCACUGAAAUCAGAGC